rnacentral:rRNA from 1 species
AGUGAACGCUGGCGGUAGGCCUAACACAUGCAAGUCGAGCGGCAGCACAGUAAGAGCUUGCUCUUACGGGUGGCGAGUGGCGGACGGGUGAGGAAUACAUCGGAAUCUACUUUUUCGUGGGGGAUAACGUAGGGAAACUUACGCUAAUACCGCAUACGACCUACGGGUGAAAGCAGGGGAUCUUCGGACCUUGCGCGAUUGAAUGAGCCGAUGUCGGAUUAGCUAGUUGGCGGGGUAAAGGCCCACCAAGGCGACGAUCCGUAGCUGGUCUGAGAGGAUGACCAGCCACACUGGAACUGAGACACGGUCCAGACUCCUACGGGAGGCAGCAGUGGGGAAUAUUGGACAAUGGGCGCAAGCCUGAUCCAGCCAUACCGCGUGGGUGAAGAAGGCCUUCGGGUUGUAAAGCCCUUUUGUUGGGAAAGAAAAGCAGCAGGUUAAUACCCCGCUGUUCUGACGGUACCCAAAGAAUAAGCACCGGCUAACUUCGUG